AGCCCCGUGGUGAAGUGUCACACCGGAUUGCAAAUCCAGAGACGCAGAUUGAUACCUGCCGGGGCUU
rnacentral:tRNA from 1 species